GAGGAGACAGGCACAGCCGAACAGCAUCGACAGAGCUGAUCUAACAGAGGCUAAAACAGCUCGUGUUCGCAGUAAUCAUUUUAUCUCAGGUCAAUCCUGAGAUCGAGAUGCUGAACCUCUUCUGCUCCUCAGACCUGCCUGAUCCAUCCUGAUGCCCUCCCAGAUAGCAAAAAUCAGUUGAAUCAACAUUGAAAUAGCGUUUGGCAGAAAACAUUGAAAUAACGUUGAAACGAUAUUGAAAGUGUCCCCUUGAAAUUUCUUAGCCUAAUUUAAUUGUACAGCAAAGCAUGUAGUCAGGGUGCGAUUUGUCAAAAAAAGCAGGGUGGGGUGGGGUGGUGGUUGUUAAUCAUGAAACAAUAAGCGCUCAACAGUGGUUCGCCCUGUCUAUAGUGUGUCUUUGGGCGCGCAAGUGCGCAUCCGCGGCUAUUCUCUGUUUUGGUCAUGUAAUAGCCUAAGUGUUGUUGGCUAAAGAGUGUUUUUGCAUAACGUAGAUAACUGACAUAGAUGUGUUGCUUGUUCUGAAUAUGGCUGCACUUGGAGCAGUCUGUCGGUGUCGUUGAGCAGUCUGGGCUGAAGUAAAGGUCUUUUAUGCACCGAACACGUUUCGCAGCGAGAUAUUCCAAUGGUGCCUGGCACGUUUUUUUUUUUUUAAUAAAACAAAGUUGCUUUGUUGAUCUGUGUUCUCAUUAAAAUGACAGUUUAGCAGCUCAUUCAAGCAACCAUGCUGCAAAGAGCUUCCUGGAGGAAAAUAUAAUAAACGCGUUGAAAACAAGAAACAAUCUCAGUGCGUCAAGACUGCAGGGAAACGAAACAAGCACUCAGAUGCAUAGCCGGCGAUUGCUAUAGGCGACCUAGGCAAUUGCCUAGAGCGCAGUGUGCCCAGGGGCGCCAAGGGCGACCAAAGCCCCACCAAAAAGGAGGGAUGGAGUUAUUGAAUGGAGAUGUUACCAAGUGCAUCAGUGGUGUACAGUGUUUUCAACCACUGUGCUGCCGAACUCUAGUACCGCGGAACACUAGUGUGCCGUGAGAGAUCACCAAGUGUACCGUGGAAAAUUAUAGAAUGACUGUAUAUUGUAAAUAUUGGCAACAGCGUUUGAGUUUCAGUCAACAUUUUCUAUUGGUGAUGUGCCUUGAGAUUUUUUUCAUUGAAAAAAGUGCGCCCUGGCUCAAAAAGGUUGAAAAACAAGUGUAGCCUAUGCAGUAGUGGUCGGUGAUUUCCUUAUGCCUACUAAAAAUGCACAAUGAUAGGUUAUAAGGGGGGCGGGGGGAGCGGUGUUCUUCGGGGAAUGAGAAUGGCUAUCCACUGCAAAAAGUAGCCCAGACUACAAGUGCUUAAAUGAAGAAAUCCAAACUCUCGGGUGCGCAAGGGCGCAAACGAAGGCUACAGGAAGAAACAAAUAGAGCCAAGUAUAGAGGAGCUGAAAAGCAGAGGUUGCGUAAAGAAGGUUCAUUCCACUGGAACUCUGCAGGAGAACCCUGGCAGGACAAUCACCAGGAAUAAAUAAUAAUAUACUGUAAACUCACUCAGCGAUAUGGAGGAAAAUCAUGGUGUAUGUCAUACAGGAUGUAGAACAGUUGGCACAGAAUCCUUCAAAUCUUAUUGCAAUGAUUCCUAUCUGGUGUCGCUCUGAAGACGAUGGGCUGCUUUAGAGUUGGCUUCCUCGCAUGAUUUCUUCCUCAUGUCUUCUGAAGGAAUUUUUCUUGCCACUGUUGCAUCUGGUUCACUAAUUAGGGAUCUAUGCUGGAUUUCUAGAAAACUGCCUGAUAUACCAAGCUUUUUCAAACUUUUAGGCAUCAUGAAUCUCCUGCAAGCCCAAACAUUCUCAAUCUUUUUCCCCAGGGUUUUUGGAUUUUUCACUUCUAAAUCCAUAUUCAAGUAA